rnacentral:scRNA from 1 species
UUUUGGUUUUAGACACCGGUGGAUCGGCUAGA